rnacentral:rRNA from 1 species
GGGUUGUGAGGUUAAGCGACUAAGCGUACACGGUGGAUGCCUAGGCAAUCAGAGGCGAUGAAGGACGUGCUAAUCUGCGAAAAGCGUCGGUAAGGUGAUAUGAACCGUUAUAACCGACGAUGUCCGAAUGGGGAAACCCAGUGCAAUUCGUUGCACUAUCGUUUGAUGAAUCCAUAGUCAAACGAGGCGAACCGGGGGAACUGAAACAUCUCAGUACCCCGAGGAAAAGAAAUCAACCGAGAUUCCCCUAGUAGCGGCGAGCGAACGGGGAGCAGCCCAGAGUCUUAAUCAGCAUCAGCAUCAGGAGAACGGUCUGGAAAGGCCGGCAAUAAAGGGUGAUAGCCCCGUAUCCGAAGGUGUUGGUGUUGUGAACUCGACGAGUAGGGCGGGACACGUGUUAUCCUGUCUGAAUAUGGGGGGACCAUCCUCCAAGGCUAAAUACUCCUGAUUGACCGAUAGUGAACCAGUACCGUGAGGGAAAGGCGAAAAGAACCCCGGCGAGGGGAGUGAAAUAGAACCUGAAACCGUGUACGUACAAGCAGUGGGAGCC